UUCAAAAUGACUCUCGGCAACGGAUAUCUCGGCUCUUGCAUCGAUGAAGAACGUAGCGAAAUGCGAUACUUGGUGUGAAUUGCAGAAUCCCGUGAACCAUCGAGUCUUUGAACGCAAGUUGCGCCCGAAGCCAUUAGGUUGAGGGCACGCCUGCCUGGGUGUCACACA
rnacentral:rRNA from 2 species